rnacentral:tRNA from 1 species
UCUCUGUUAGUGUGUCGGUUAGUACACGUGCCUGUCAUGCGCGAAAGCGCGGUUCGACUCCCCCACAGAGAG